AGAGUUUGAUCAUGGCUCAGGACGAACGCUGGCGGCGUGCCUAACACAUGCAAGUCGAACGCGCUCCAUUCGGUGGCAACACCGAUGAAGAGCGAGUGGCGAACGGGUGAGUAGCACGUGAGCAACCUGCCCCGAAGACUGGGACAACACCGGGAAACCGGUGCUAAUACCGGAUAUCCCUGUCGGACCGCAUGAUCCGA
rnacentral:rRNA from 1 species